rnacentral:rRNA from 1 species
AUUGAACGCUGGCGGCAGGCCUAACACAUGCAAGUCGAACGGAGCGGCGGACGGGUGCGUAAGGCUUAGGACUCUGCCUGGUAGUGGGGGAUAACGAUCGCAAACGGGAGCUAAUACCGCAUACUAUUAGAUUAGCCUAGGUCGGAUUAGCUAGUGGGUGGGGUAAAGGCCUACCAAGGCGACGAUCCGUAACUGGUACGAGAGGAUGAUCAGUCACACUGGAACUGAGACACGGUCCAGACUCCUACGGGAGGCAGCAGUGGGGAAUAUUGGACAAUGGGCGAAAGCCUGAUCCAGCCAUGCCGCGUGUGUGAAGAAGGUCUUCGGAUUGUAAAGCACUUUAAGUUGGGAGGCGUUACCAACAGAAUAAGCACCGGCUAACUUCGUGCCAGCAGCCGCGGUAAUUC